rnacentral:rRNA from 1 species
UGGGGAAUAUUGGGCAAUGGGCGAAAGCCUGACCCAGCCACGCCGCGUGAGUGAUGAAGGCCUUCGGGUCGUAAAGCUCUGUGGGGAGGGACGAACAAGCCCUGGGCUAAUCACCAGGGACCUGACGGUACCUCCUUAGCAAGCACCGGCUAACCCUGUGCCAGCAGCCGCGGUAAUACAGGGGGUGCAAACGUUGCUCGGAAUCAUUGGGCGUAAAGCGCACGUAGGCGGUCUGUUAUGUCGGAUGUGAAAGCCCUUGGCUCAACUGAGGAAGUGCAUCCGAAACUGGCAGGCUAGAGUACUAAAGAGGGUCGCGGAAUUCCCGGUGUAGAGGUGAAAUUCGUAGAUAUCGGGAGGAACACCGGUGGCGAAGGCGGCGACCUGGGUAGAUACUGACGCUGAGGUGCGAAAGCGUGGGGAGCAAACA